CUGGCUUGACAAAAUUCUCAAAGUUUGACCUCAAAUCAGGUAGGAUUACCCGCUGAACUUAAGCAUAUCAAUAAGCGGAGGAAAAGAAACCAACCGGGAUUGCCUUAGUAACGGCGAGUGAAGCGGCAAAAGCUCAAAUUUGAAAUCUGGUACCUUUCGGUGCCCGAGUUGUAAUUUGGAGAAAGUGAUUCUGGGACUGGCCCUUGCCUAUGUUCCUUGGAACAGGACGUCAUAGAGGGUGAGAACCCCGUGAGGCGAGGUGAUCCAGUUCUUUGUAGAACGCUUUCGAAGAGUCGAGUUGUUUGGGAAUGCAGCUCUAAGUGGGUGGUAAAUUCCAUCUAAAGCUAAAUACAGGCGAGAGACCGAUAGCGAACAAGUACAGUGAUGGAAAGAUGAAAAGAACUUUGAAAAGAGAGUGAAAAAGGACGUGAAAUUGUUGAAAGGGAAGGGCAUUUGAUCAGACAUGGUGUUUUGUGCCCCUCGCUCCUCGUGGGUGGGGGAAUCUCGCAGCUCACUGGGCCAGCAUCAGUUUUGGCGGCAGGAUAAAUCUCUGGGAAUGUGGCUUCUUUCUUCGGGAGGGAGUGUUAUAGCCCAGGGGAAUACUGCCAGCUGGGACUGAGGUAUGCGACAUUUGUCAAGGAUGUGCG
rnacentral:rRNA from 1 species